ACCGUGGCGCAGCUUUCCAUGCAAGUCGACGGCAGCACGGGGGUAACCCUGGUGGCGAGUGGCGAACAGGUGAGUAAUGCAUCGGAACAUAUCUUAAAGUGGGGAAUAACGCAUCGAAAGGUGUGCUAAUACUCCAUAUUCUCUAAGGAGGAAAGCGGGGGAUCGAAAGACCUCGUGCUUUGAGGGUGGCCGAUGUCUGAUUAGCUAGUUGGUAGGGUAAAGGCCUACCAAGGCGACGAUCAGUAGCUGGUCUGAGAGGACGAUCAGCCACACUGGGACUGGGACACGGCCCAGACUCCUACGGGAGGCAGCAGUGGGGAAUUUUGGACAAUGGGCGAAAGCCUGAUCCAGCCAUGCCGCGUGAGUGAAGAAGGCCUCCGGGUUGUAAAGCUCUUUCGGUCGGAAAGAAAUAUCUAUAAAAAAUAUUUAUAGAGGAUGACGGUACCGACAUAAGAAGCACCGGCUAACUACGUGCCAGCAGCCGCGGUAAUGCGUAGGGUGCAAGCGUUAAUCGGAAUUAUUGGGCGUAAAGGGUGCGCAGGCGGUGCUGUAAGUCAGAUGUGAAAUCCCCGGGCUUAACCUGGGAAUUGCGUUUGAAACUGCAGUGCUAGAGUGUGAUAGAGGAGAGUGGAAUUCCAUGUGUAGCAGUGAAAUGCGUAGAGAUGUGGAAGAACACCAAUGGCGAAGGCAGCUCUCUGGAUUAACACUGACGCUCAUGCACGAAAGCGUGGGGAGCAAACAGGAUUAGAUACCCUGGUAGUCCACGCCCUAAACUAUGUCAACUAGUUGUCGGAUCUGUUUAAGGAUUUGGUAACGAAGCUAACGCAUGAAGUUGACCGCCUGGGAAGUACGGUCGCAAGAUUAAAACUCAAAGGAAUUGACGG
rnacentral:rRNA from 1 species